rnacentral:rRNA from 1 species
GUGGGGAAUAUUGGACAAUGGGCGAAAGCCUGAUCCAGCCAUGCCGCGUGUGUGAAGAAGGUCUUCGGAUUGUAAAGCACUUUAAGUUGGGAGGAAGGGCAUUAACCUAAUACGUUAGUGUUUUGACGUUACCGACAGAAUAAGCACCGGCUAACUUCGUGCCAGCAGCCGCGGUAAUACGAAGGGUGCAAGCGUUAAUCGGAAUUACUGGGCGUAAAGCGCGCGUAGGUGGUUCGUUAAGUUUGAUGUGAAAGCCCCGGGCUCAACCUGGGAACUGCAUCCAAAACUGGCGAGCUAGAGUACGGUAGAGGGUGGUGGAAUUUCCUGUGUAGCGGUGAAAUGCGUAGAUAUAGGAAGGAACACCAGUGGCGAAGGCGACCACCUGGACUGAUACUGACACUGAGGUGCGAAAGCGUGGGGAGCAAACAGGAUUAGAAACCCUAGUAGUCC